AUUGAACGCUGGCGGCAUGCCUUACACAUGCAAGUCGAACGGUAACGGGCCUUCGGGUGCCGACGAGUGGCGAACGGGUGAGUAAUACAUCGGAACGUGCCCGAUCGUGGGGGAUAACGAGGCGAAAGCUUUGCUAAUACCGCAUACGAUCUACGGAUGAAAGCAGGGGACCGCAAGGCCUUGCGCGGACGGAGCGGCCGCUGGCAGAUUAGGUAGUGGGUGGGAUAAAAGCUUACCAAGCCGACGAUCUGUAGCUGGUCUGAGAGGAUGAUCAGCCACACUGGGACUGAGACACGGCCCAGACUCCUACGGGAGGCAGCAGUGGGGAAUUUUGGACAAUGGGCGCAAGCCUGAUCCAGCCAUGCCGCGUGCAGGAUGAGGGCCUUCGGGUUGUAAACUGCUUUUGUACGGAACGAAAAGCCUUCUUUUAAUACAGGAGGGUCAUGACGGUACCGUAAGAAUAAGCACCGGCUAACUACGUG
rnacentral:rRNA from 1 species